CUGACCAUUAUUGUAUAUCUUCUGUCAUUAUAACUUGUGACUUUUCUUGGUUCAUUUCGUUGUUAUUAUCUCAAGUGCUGGUAACUUGUGGCAGCGUCCUUGCUGAAAAGUUGAACUUGAAUUAUGAGGAAGCUGAGCGGUGGAUUGUAAAUCUCGUGCGCACGUCAAAGCUUGAUGCAAAGCUUGAUUCAAAGACAGGAACGGUUAUAAUGGAAACGAACGAGCCUGACGUGCAUGAGCAAUUGAUCGACCACACGAAGUCAUUAUCUGGGCGUACUUACAAGUUAGUGACCCAACUUCUAGAGCAUGCACAGGCUCAAGCAGCUAGAUAAAUUUUGGGUGGUGCCUCUUUUUUUCCUGAAUUUAUGUUUUUUUUUUUUUUUUUUUUUUUUUUUUUUUUUUUU